rnacentral:rRNA from 1 species
GACGGAGGAUGCAAGCGUUAUCCGGAAUUAUUGGGCGUAAAGCGUCCGCAGGUGGCAUUUCAAGUCUGCUGUCAAAGCGCAGAGCUUAACUCUGUAACGGCGGUGGAAACUGGAAAGCUAGAGUAUGGUAGGGGUAGAGGGAAUUCCCGGUGUAGCGGUGAAAUGCGCAGAUAUCGGGAGGAACACCGGUGGCGAAGGCGGUUCUCUGGGCCGAUACUGACGCUGAGGAGCGAAAGCGUGGGGAGCGAACAGG